GUCUCCAUAGCUCAGUGGUUUAGAGCGGCCGCCUGCAGCAUCUGCAAUAGCGGCAGGUCACGUGUUCAAAUCACGUUGGGGACU
rnacentral:tRNA from 1 species